GUAGGUGAACCUGCGGAAGGAUCAUUACCAAUCCAAAACUUUUAUAAACCACUUUGUGCACUGAGAAACCGAAUCUUUACCCCUUCCGAAAGGGAGGGGUAAGGAGUUUUCCAUUUCCAUUCUCCCUUUUUUUUCUCUUUUCUCUCUCUCUCUCUCUCCUCAUAUUGAGGAGGGAGGGGGGGGGGUGAGGAGGGGAAGAGAGUUUGGAACGGAAAACAAACAAACAAACAAACAAAAACCUAAAAACUCU
rnacentral:misc_RNA from 1 species